ACGGCGCGACGUUUCUUCUCCUCCAGCCGUACCUCCGCCCUUAAAAUGGAGAAGGUCAAAGUGUGAAUGGGAGGGGGGAGGAGAAAAAGCUAGGGUAAAAGACUCCUACCCAAGGGUAGCCUGACCGCUACCCGGCCAUGACACUGCAUUGGGUCCAGGUGGAAAGGAGGUUGGGUGCGCAAGCGCAUGCGCCAGGCAGCUGGCGCGCUCCUCCUCCGGGAGGGGGGAAAUGGUGAGGGAGUCGUGAGGAGAGAAUGGGAGGAGAAAGAGAAGAAACCGAGGGUAGGAAGAGAGAAGAAAGUCGAGGAGGGCAGAGGGCUAAGGUGCAGAGCAGGGAGAAUGGAGAGAGAAGAAUCGGGCAGAGGAGAGAAGAAAAUCGACGAGGGUAGGGAGGAAGUGAAGAAGGGAGAGGAACGUGAGAAGCAAGAAGACAGGGCGGGGGCGGCAGAGGAAAAGGAGAGAAAAGUGGAGAAGGGAGAGAAAAAAGACCUAGAAUGGGAAAGGAGAGAAAAAAAAUAGAGGGAGGAGAGAAGAAAGUGAAGAAAAAGGGAUUGUUUUAUUUUGUUCUCUUCUCUUCCUUUGAACUAUGGAGCCUUUGAUUUUCAGACCCCCAUACUUGCUGAGACCAAUGAGAGUGGAAAGGGCUAAAUAACUCAGUCAAGUGUAUUCAGCAAAAUCUAAAAAUGGCCCUAGGAGAGCUUUUAAAACACAGCCAUCUGAAAAAUCUGAGACCUUAGGAUGGAUUACUUCUGUGCCUACUGGGAGAGAGUUGGCAGUGUUUAACAUUUUUUCUUUCUUUCCUUUUUUCCUUUUUUAAUUUCAUGCAUUUCCUGGGAAUGUAAUAUAUAAACACACUUAUGGGCAACAAUAUAGGAUGAGAAACAAGCAUCAUAAAAUAUACAGAGGCUUUUUUUUGUGGAGCGUUAUAUAGCUACUGCUUGGGGGUAUGUUAUAUGAAAGGGAAAUUUUAUACACUAUCAAUAUUUUAUUAUUCAUUUUAGGACAAAAAUGUAUCAAGCACUUUUCUGUGUUCAAAUCAUUCUGCUGGUGCUAGGAGAGAUACAUAGAUGUAUUUUACACCUUAAGUUAUAGUUUAUAUUGUACAUAGAAUAAGGAAAUGUGAAACUUAGGUUUGAGAUCCUUGUAUUGCUUAUGUGAUCUGUUUUGUAGCAUCUUCAGUGACAUGAGGACCUGGGCGCAAUUUUGGUUGUUGCAAAAAUCUCUUUUACUUGUUUCUCUGCAUCCAGGGAAGUCCUACAAACUAUAUUGACUUGAAUUUAGAUGUUAGGGCAUUUGUAGCAUAUGUUUAAAUAUUGACACUGGUUUGUUGUCUAUGAUUUCUUUCAAGAUAAUAUAAUUUCCUUGUUUAAGUGAAUUUUUGUUUCUGCUUUCUCUGAUAGUAUGAUUAUAAUAGUUGUUUUUUUAGAUUUCCCUGAUGUUUCAGCCUCUCACUUUUAUGUUAGAAGUGACUUUGGUUUUUUAGGUCUUUUUCUUUUAAGUAGUAGUUUAUAGGAUUUUGCUUUCUUACUUAAUCCUUCACUUUUGUUUUACUUGAUUCUUUAAUCUCACAUUUAAAGUUAGGAAAUUUAGUUUAUAUUUUCCCUUCUUUGUGUUUCUAGCAUUGCUUUUUAUUCUGAAUUAAUAUUUUUUGUUCUCUUAAUCCUUUAAGAUAUUUUGUCUUCAGUCCUUUUAUUUAAUCUACCUUUAUGUUAUCCUCCCAACCCCCAGAAGAAAAUAAAGAUUAAGAAAAACUCUUUGAUCCAGAACUCUUUCAGCUAGACAUAGAUUCCCAAAGAGGUCAAAGAAAAACCUAAUAUACAUCAAAAAUUACUUUUGGUAGUAGCAAAUAAAUAGAUGCUUAUUUAAUAGGGAAUAGUUAAACUUGUGAUGGAAUAUUAUCGUGCCAUAAGAAACAUUGACUGUGAAGACAUUUAAUAAUAAUGUAUAUAUAGUGAAUGAUAUAGAUAACUGAUGACAAGUACAGCAGAACCAGGAAAAUAAUAUCUACAGGAACUUCAAAAUGUAAAUAGAAGGAAUAGCAAUAGCAAUAUUAAAAUUUAAUGUAAUAUAAUUUUAAUGAUCAAACUUGACUCAGAAAAAGAUGUGAAUGUACCGUUUCUUUACAAAGGAGGCCAAUUAUGGAUAUGAAACUUUAAAUGCACUAUAAAACUUAAUUAAUAUGUUUGUUAGUUUUUACCCCUUUCUCCCCACUCUUCUCUUUUGUUAUAUGGGAUAGUUCUUUUUAGUAGGGGAGGGGAAGGGAUAUAUUGGGAAUGAAAGUGAUAUAAAAACAAAUAAUAUCAAUAAAUAUUUAAAAGAAAUUGAGAGAGGAGAUGAUCACAGGAUAAGCUCUUAAGGGAGGUAGUUUAAUAUUUCAAUCUUCUGUACUUUCUCCCACCUGUGUCUUCAACUUGCUCUGGGUCUGUGCAGCUAUUGAUCUCUCUUUGUAUCUUCAUUGUGUCUUUUCUCUAAGAUCCUGAAGUCUCUGCUAUAAUAAAACUAUUUUUACUUCAGAGGGUUGUUGUGAAAAAAAUUUUUUUUAUACAUUUUGUGACAUUAUAUAAAUGAGUUAUUUUUUUAUUAUUACUUCUCACUUUGAUGGAUUUUUGUCCUCAUCAGUGCUGGUACUCUAGAAUGGCACAGAUCAUAAUCUGUCCAUACCUUCUUAGCUUAUAUGACAUGCUAAAGCCUUCUUCAAGAUUUUUGAACAUUGUAUGAAUUCUAGUCAAGCACAUGGACAAUUCUUUGGAUAUCCCUCAUUGUUGCUGCAUAACUAGGCAAACUUAUUUUCCUAGUGCUUUAUCAGCCCAUCAGCUCUCAUAUUCUAGCAGAAUACCAGUCUAACCUACAACUUAGUAUUUUCCCUAAUGAUGUACAAUCUUUGUUGGCACCUUCUAUCCCUGAUCUUUCCACAUCAUUAUGUGGCAAGAAGUGGCAGAUUGUAACUGCUCUCUUUUCCCUCAUUUUCAGAAAAGGUGAUGUAUACAAUGAUAGCUAAAUGACUGCAAAUGUUUCUAGAUACAUAUUAGAGAAAAAGAAUGUAGAAGAUAGAGAAUGCGUGAUGUACCCUAAUUAAGUCAGUGGUAAACAGUGAAAAGAAAAUAAAAGCCUGGCUUGAGGAAAAGUAAGGAAGUAAAGCAAAGGAUUGAAAUGAGUCAAUGGAUUGCAUAAAGUUGAAUAAACACAGAGACAAUGUAAUAGUUAAAAUUAAAUUAUGAGGUUGAUAGUAGCUUUAGUAGCUUUAUUACAUGAAAGUAGUGAUAGUAAAGAGAGGGAAAUAUAGGAAAGAGGUAGAGAGUAGCUUAGCUUACUAUCCUAUUUAGUAUUUGAUGAAUUGAAGUUUACCACCAACAGGGUUCCUUCAGGUUCCAAGCUCUAGCUAGAAGAGAUAGAGCAGACUCCUGGUCUCACCUUAUAAGUAGUUUUCUCCACCCCCCCAUCACAUCUCAGGAACCAAUCAUACAUAGUUCUUUAAUUUGCAGGGGGAGGAGGGGCAGUGCCUGUGGGCUUAGUUUCCUGUCUGGGUUUCAACUUCUUUUCCCUGAGGGUUUGUCUAUACCUGCACAUCUCAAUGGUAAAUGACCUCCAGGUCACUGAUUGAUGACAUCAAACAAAGUGACAUAAUGGGGAGGGAAAUUCCCUUCCCAUAAGAAUAUUAUCCUAAAAGAGAAUAAAAACUAAUUCCUAAUUCAGAAUAAAGCAACACUAGAAACACAAAUAGAGCAAGAUAUAAACUAAAUAUCUUAACUUUAAAGACAUUCUAACAAAAAUGAGAGGCUGAAACACCUAUGUAUCAGGGAAAUUUUAAAAAACCUGGAUAUUAUACACACACACACACACACACAUACACACAUAUAUAUAUAUAUUGCAUGAUUAUGAUGUCAGAUAAAGCAAAACCAAAAAUUUACAACAUAAUUACAGAUAAACAAGGAAAUUAUAUUAUCCUGAGACCAUAGAUGACAAGCAAUAUCAAUAUUUAAACAUGUUAUAAAUGCUCUAACAUCUAAAUUCAUAAAGGAAAAAUUAACAGAAUUACAAGAAGAUUGAGACAGUAUAGGAAUAGUAAGAGAUUUUAAUAUCUUUCUUUUAAAUCUGGACAAAUAUAACAGAUAAGAGAAAAAUAUUGAAUUUAACAAAUUUUGGGGGGGAAAUAGAGCUAAAAGAUUUAUGAUGUCUUCUGAAUGGGACUUCUAAAGAAUAUACAUAGAUAUUUAUACAUAUGUAAAAAAGAAUAUAACUGUAUUUUUUAAAACAAAAAUUGAUCUUGUAUUAGGCCACAGGAAUUUUGCAAAUAAAUAUAAAAAGGCAGAAGUAUUAAAUAUCCUUUGUAGAUUUUAAUACAGUAAAAAUAGUAUUUUAAUCCAGGGACCACAAACAAAACAGACCCAAAUGGAGACUUAAUAAUUAGAUUUUAAAUAACAAAUGGACCAAAAAACAAAUAAUGGAAAUGACAAUUGUGUGAAAGACUAUGACAAUGGUAAAAUGAUUUCUUAAAAUUUCUGGGAUGCAGCUAAUGGAGUCAAUGGGGGGAAAAUUAUAUUGAUGUAUUAUUAUUAUUUUUCUUUUUGGUUAAUGUAUCCCAAAAUCAUGUUACUGAUUUUUGGCUGCCAUACCAUACACAAUAAUGCUCAGUUCUUUGGACCCCUUCCUACUUGACUCAGCUUAUUUUCAGUUGCACAGUGGUUGGUAAAGAAUGUAGAUGGUGUUAAGAAUUGUUUCUCUACUCCAUAUAAACAUUAAUUGUUUUUUGUUAUUCCAAAUGACAGAUCAAGAAGUCAAAUGUGCUACUAGAAGAAGAAAAACUGAAUUUUUAUAUUGAUAUUGCUAUAAAUGAAAUCAUAAGAUAUGGAGAUGGCUUGCAGAGUCUUCUUAGAGAGACAAAGGACUUGCGAAGUUUGUUUCUUUAGUUCUUGUAAGGGCAAUAAGAAAUAUCCUCUCAUGCUAGUGCUUGCUCCUCCUUCCUUACAUCAGGCAUGAUUUGCACAUACUCAAGGAAUAUCAUGAGCAUGAUUGCGUAACUACAAUAUAUGUAGCAACAGCUGUUAUAGAAAAUGAAUGAAUUCCUCCAAACCAAGUCAAUACAUACAUUGAUACUUAGUGACCUCAGUGGAAAGGUGGGUUCAGGGGAGUACAGUGGUAAGUAUAUUGGAAAAUUUGGGUCAGAAUUAAAAAAUAGAAGAAGCCAUUGAGUUAUAAGCUAUUCAGAAGUCUCAUACCUAUAUAUCAUGAAUAUGUUUGUCAAGGGGAGAUAUGGAAGGCUCUGGAAGUAUUGAAGUAUUAUAUAGUAUUGAAGGAAUGAAAUUAAUAUAUCUUAACAAAUAGGAAAAGACUAGUUCCUGAUGUAGGAGUCAUUUUAGAAUCAGCUGUCUAUAGUCAGACUAUAAGAAUAAUUAGAUCAGAAGUCAAACUCUACUACAAAUCAGAAGAAACUAUAUAGGUAAAGAAUGGACACUACAUAUAACUCUACCUCCAAUGUGACCUAUCAAAAUAAGCUGUUGAUCUUGAAAAAUGGGACGGACAAACUUAGAUUUAUAUGACAGAAGAAAUUUCUGCUAUAAGUGACACAGGUUUUAAAACAUUGAUUGAUUUUUUUUUUAAAGAUAUUUUAAAGAGACGAAGAUACCGAACACUGGAAAAUCAGAGACAAUAUUAUUUACCCAGAAAGCUUAUUGAGAAGACAUCAGCAACUAAUGAUCCAUAUGCAUACUUUCUUAUCUCUAAUUCCGAGAAUUUCUAAAACAUGUGUCAAGAUAUCUAAACUAUGUGAAUAGGAUAAUUGGACUUUCAUAAAUAAUGUUUUAUUACAGAUCAGAAUUUCAGCCAAACAAUUGUAUAAGAUUUGUUCAUUUUAAAUGAGGAACAAAAGAUGUGUGUUCACCUAAAGUGUUCACUACUAUUAUAGGAUAUGUUUUUUAUAGAGAACAAAUGCAGGAAGCAUUCUUUAUAUAUUAGGAGGUAGCCCAAGUGUUCUUGUUUAUUCAUGGCAUACUGAUUACAUCAGACCCUAGAACCUCUAAAGUGAGGACUUGUAGAAUGUCUUUUGCCCAGAUCGUGACUUUCAGUAGGUUAAUUUGUCGAUAGAUUUAUCUUGGAAAAUUAUUGCAAAUGGAUAGUAGACUAUGUCUAGGAUUGACCAAAAUGUGUUUCAAUGUCAAUAACUAUAAACUACUCUCUGACACACAAGUUAUUUUUAAACACUAAUAUACACCCAGGGAUGCUGCACAGCUUUGAAUGAUGGAUUAUCUAUUUCUUCUAGGAUCAAAUACAAAUUUCUCUGUAUAGCAUUUAAAACUUUUCACAAUAUGGUGUAAAAGUUAAAAUUAAUGUACAAUAAUAAAAAUAUUAUAUUUUAGGAGAUUUAUUAAAUGAUCAUUAGAAAUAAAGGAAUAAAAGGGAUAAAAAAUAAAAAAACAAAAACAAAGACACAUGUCCAUGGCUAAUCAGCCAGUUCAAAACCCCCACGCUUACCAUCCUUGCCAGGAAGCCAAAGAGGCCAGAGCCCGAACACCCACUGAAUUUAUCCCCUGUCUACAGGAAGUAUAAAAUGACAAGAAGUCAGUGGGCUCCCAGGAAAUGUAGUUUCUUUUUAAGGUAACAUAUUUUCAAUUAUACAAUGGUCCCCUUUCCUGUUAUGCAUAUUCUCUCUUCCAUAUGCUUGUAGUGCCUGGAAUUUUAACUAAUAAAGAAUGAGGCCAUUUUCCCAAGAAUAAUAUCUUUUAUUCAUAUGGCAUGAGGUCUGUUAAAAAAGCAUGGCUCUUUUGCCCAUCUCUUCCUUAAGCAAAAUAUCUGCCAUGAGCUCUGACAGUUGCUUUUAUAAGAAGGUAUGUCCUCUUUCUGAUAGGCCUGACAGUUCAUCCCUUGGACCUCCUUGUAGCAGGUGGACUUAGAGAUCUCAACUCCUCUUCCAUUACUUUAUCACAGGGGAGGUGAGUCUUUACCCAAAUAAGGAAAACACCAGUUGUACCCUGCUUUAGAAUGCCUUAGUGAGGGUUGUGUUUUUUGAAGAUAAAGGCUUUGAAUAAAUAACAGAAGGUCCCAGACCAAUUUAGAUGCCUUGGGCCUGAACUAUUUCUGCCUUAUCUUGUAAGGCCAAUGGACUUGGAAAAGUAAAUGAUUUCCCACAGGAAUAUUACGAAUAAAUUAUUACAAUUCAAUAUUAACUUAUUCAUUCUUCCCUCUAAUUCAUUGGAAGAUAGUCAAUCCAACGAAUCACAAUAGUUGAGAUAUUUAUAAAUUUCAGAAUUGACUCACCAGGAUAAUAAAAGGAAGGGAAGGUAUUAUAUAUUUAGUAAAGGGUUUUAUUAUGAAACUUGGGUGUUUCUUAGCAUGAUGUUAAAAAGUGAUUAAUAGACCCAUUGAUAGAGAGCCAUUAAGGGGGAAUUCCCCUUCUGGGCUAAGGGUCUUACAAAUAACUUAAAAAAUGUAUUCAUAGGGAAGAGAUGAAGGGGAUGGGUAACUCAGUGCUCACUGCUCAGUCCAUUAUAUCCAAAGACUCAGUCUCAUAAUGUAGCUGUCUCAUUUCUGAGGACAUAUUCUGUUGCUUUCAUCUCCUUAGGCCUUCUGGAAUCAUGCUGGCUCUCAGAGCAGUUUGACUGGAACUCAAUUUAGAAACUGCCAAUAACUGACUGAAAGGAGAAUUUAAAAGAAUCUAUAGGAACUGGAAAGACCUCCAUGAACUGAUGCAAAGUGAAAUGAGCAGAACCUGGAAAACAUUGUACACAGAGACUGAUACAUUGUGGAAUGAUCAAAUGUAACUGACUUUGCUACUAAAAGCAAUGUAAUGAUCCAGGCCAAUUCUGAGGGAUCAAUGAGAAAGAAUGCUAUCCACCUCUAGAGAAAGAACUCUGGGAGCAGAAAUCUGCAAGAAAACAUAUGAUUUAUCACUUGUUUGUAUGAGCAUAUGAUUUGGAGUUUUGGUUUUAAAAUAUUACUCUAUUACAAAAAUAAAUAAUAUGGAAAUAGGAUUUGAGUGAUAAUAUAUGUAUAACCCAAAGAAAUUGCUUGUCAGCUCUGGGAAUGGGGAGGGAGACAACAAGAAUCCUGUAACCAUGGAAAAUUUUUUUUAAAAAAUCUAUAGGGCCAGCAGGGUGGCUCAUUGGAUACACAAUCAGACCUGGAAAUGGGGAUUCUGAGUUCAAAUCUGGUUUCAAGACACCUCAUACCUAUGUGAAUCUGGGCAAAUCACUUAACCUGAUCCUUAGGAUAGAGUCUAAGACUGAAAAUAAGGUGUUUUUUUUGUUGGUGUUUUUUUUUAAGAAUCUUUGAAGAUCUAAUGUUUAGAUUCAAUGUUUUUAGUUUAAAAAUGUUAUAUAUACCUGAUUUUUACAACUUUGUACUAGAAUAUGCUCAAUGCCUUUGUAUCUCAUUAGAAACAAUUAUAUUUGACAUAUAUAUUUUGUCUUUUUAAAAACAAAACCAAAAAUCUUUCACUCCAGUUAUUUACUCUAGUUUCAUUUUUAGCUACGUUCUUCCCUCAGGAGGAUGACUGCUGUUUUAAUGAAAAUUAUCACCCUUUAAAGAUUGUUAUAAUAAUAAAACUAUGGCCGCCAAGGAAUUUACUUAUGAAAUUCCUAAAAUGAAACACUCAAGUCAGAAUGGAAUUUAUGGUGGUUUAAUCACAAUGGGAGUAAGAGAAGGGAGAGGGAGAGAAAGAGAGAGGAGAAAAGGGAAAGGGGUUACUCAACCUCUGGCCAAGCCAGAGGGAGAUUAGCCCCAAAGGGCCAAGGUAGAAAAGAAUCAGUCCUUGACUCACGUGACCGAUCUGAAGGGAAGCUGUCUGUGGGCUCAAGCUUCUAGCACCAACUGUCUUCUAGCCCUGUCCACAGGAAGUGCGCAAAUUCCAGAGGCUCCUUUCUCUGUCACUUCCUGUGCCUCACAAGUGCCAAUGGUGGCUCAAGCUUGGCUUAGGUCAGCCCAGGUGGGCAGUUAGUUAUUUCUGAUUUGUCAUUGACUAGCACAUGCCCAUGUAGUGUGGGUGUGCACAAUUUUGGGUGCUAGACCAAGCAAGAUGGAGAUUUUAAAAAUUCACAAUCCCCCCUGAUGAUGAUUGGGGGACUAGUCUCCCCAACUGAUCACUAACAUAAGCGUACUGCACCCCGAAAAAUUCUAACUGUAAGUGUAUACAAAAUUUUGCCCUCUAAGAAGAAAACUAUAAUAGUUGUAGGUUAGGGGAAAUAGAGGAGAAAGACAACAAACCAAUGUUUUGCUGGGCGCAUUGACAAAAGCCAAUUAGGGGGCAGUCCCCUUGGCAUAAGAGUGUACAUUCAAAAAAAGAAAAUGUUCAAUCAACCGCCCCCCAAGGUUCAUUCUGGAUCUUUCUGCAGUGAAAAGGUUUAGAUUUCUUUCUGCAAACAGUUCAUUCUCUGGAUUCAGUUAGUUAGCAAGCUUCUUCUCUGAAGAUGUAUCUUGAACAAAAUUUAAAUCUUGGAUUUUAUGAAAUACACUGCUAAGGAUCUAAUCCUAUAUAUGAGUACAUAACUAGCACUUUUUGCAAAAAGGUUGCUUCUAUGAAUAAGUUUGAUAGCCAUAUAGAUGAAUUUACCCAAAAGGUGCUUAUCUUCUUAUUGUGAAAACUGACUUGAGAUAGUAUAUGUAAAAAGGAUAGGCAAAGUAUUCCACAUUGUAUCAAAUAAGUUAUAUAUAAUAUAAGGAAUGAAAUUCUUUGGAGGUUAUAUAUAUAUAUAUAUAUAUAUAUAAUUUUAAGAUAUUAAUUAAAUAAGCAGAACCAGGAAAACAAUAAUAUAAUGAUUCACAACAAUUCUGAGAGACUUAUGAAAAAGAAUGCUGUCCUCUUCCAGAAUAAGAACUAUUGAAGUAAGAAUGCAAUUGAAAGUAUAUGGUCUAUCACUUGUUUAUCUGGGUAUAUGUUUUAGAGUUUUGGUUUUAUAAGAUGAUUAACUUAUAAAAAUAAAUAAUAUGGGAACAUGUUUUGCAUGAAAAAACACAUAUAAUACAAAUUGAAUUGCUUGCCAGCUUUGGGAGGGGAGAAGGAAUAUGUAAAGGAGACAAUUUGGACUAUAUAACUUUGGAAAACUCAUGUGAAAUUUAAUUAUUAAAAUUGUGUGAGACAGAGUUGAAUGUGCUAUUCUCCAAAUAAGUAUUUAGUUAUAAAUGCUAAUUUGUUACCUUUUUGUUGGUUGACUCUGGGACAGGCUUGGGAGGGAGACUGAUGAAUGCCAGAGGGAGCAAUGAACAGCUGUUAUUUCCUUUGUGCCUCACCUCAAUUGGGUUCCAAGCACAGGUGUUUUGAUUUGUAGACCAAAGCCUGGUUGGGGAGGUGGGGAGGAGCCUUGUGUGUAUAUUGACUGUUGCCUAGUCAGUUGGCACUUCUUAGCCCAUUCUUGGAGUGCUUUCUUUCAUUAAGGGGAAUAAAUAACUGCCUCUUUUUACUCCUA